CAGUAGCCGCGGUAAUACGUAGGGUGCAAGCGUUAAUCGGAAUUACUGGGCGUAAAGCGUGCGCAGGCGGUUAUAUAAGACAGAUGUGAAAUCCCCGGGCUCAACCUGGGAACUGCAUUUGUGACUGUAUAGCUAGAGUACGGCAGAGGGGGAUGGAAUUCCGCGUGUAGCAGUGAAAUGCGUAGAUUUGCGGAGGAACACCGAUGGCGAAGGCAAUCCCCUGGGCCUGUACUGACGCUCAUGCACGAAAGCGUGGGGAGCAAACAGGAUUAGAUACCCGUGUAGUCCCUGUCUCUUAUAC
rnacentral:rRNA from 1 species